rnacentral:tRNA from 3 species
CGCGGGUGGAGCAGCUUGGUAGCUCGUCGGGCUCAUAACCCGAAGGUCGUCGGUUCAAAUCCGGCCCCCGCAACCA